rnacentral:snoRNA from 1 species
CUGCAGAUGACGAGUUACUCGGAUUCCCCUUCAAGACAUCUUGGGUGAUGCAAAAACCGAGCUUCUGAUGCA